GGGUGUUAAAACCCAGACGCAUAAUGAAAGUGAAAUCGGCUUGCCGAUUGACACACGACCCAAUCCUUCUGGAUAGGUGCAGUGUGGUGUCGUCAUGAUUGCUUGCAAUGUGGCGAACACAGAGCAGUCAUGCUGGGACCCGAAAGAUGGUGAACUAUGCCUGAGCAGGACGAAGCCAGAGGAAACUCUGGUGGAGGUCCGAAGCGGUUCUGACGUGCAAAUCGAUCGUCAGACUUGGGUAUAGGGGCGAAAGACUAAUCGAACCAUCUAGUAGCUGGUUCCCUCCGAAGUUUCCCCCAGGAUAGCUGGUGCUCGUGUUGUGCAGUCUUUUCCGGUAAAGCGAAUGAUUAGAGGACUUGGGGACGAAAC
rnacentral:rRNA from 1 species